UCAGCUAUAAAUCAUGGCAGCUAAACUACAAGCCGCCCGCCAGAGAACUACCAGCGAGAAGCUCAAAACUCAAAGGGCUUGACGGUGUCCCAUACCAACCUAGAGGAGCCUGUCCUGUAAUCGAUAAUCCACGCUUCACCCUACCUGUCCUAGCCCCCAUUCAGCCUAUAUACCGCCGUCUCCAGCCUACCUAGUGAUAGCCCCACAGUAGGCUCCUCUGGCACCCCCAGAUACGCCAGGUCAAGGUGUAGCUAAUGGGCAGGUUAAAGAUGGGCUACAUUUUCUUAACCAAGAAAAAACCAACAACGCUAUGAAACCCCGCCAUAAAGGAGGAUUUAGCAGUAAGCCUGAAAUAAACCACGCCAGACUGAAGUAUGUCCUGGGCCG
rnacentral:rRNA from 1 species